GACGAACGCUGGCGGCGUGCUUAACACAUGCAAGUCGAACGGUGAAGCGCCUUCCUUUUUGGUUGGUGUGGUUGCGUGGCGAACGGGUGCGUAACACGUGAGUAACCUGCACCCUUCUUCUGGAUAACCACAUGAAAGUGUGGCCAAUACGGGAUAUCCUGGGUCUUUGGCAUGGUGGGUCUGGGACAGAUAUUGUUUCGGUGGGGGAUGCGCUCGCGGCGUAUCAGCUUGUUGGGGGGGUGAGGGCCUACCACGGCGAUGGCGGGUAGCAGGCCUGAGAGGGUGGACGGCCACAGUGGGUGAGAGGCACGGCCGAGACUGCGACGGGGCGCAGCAGUGGACGAGAGUGCGCAGUGGGGACUAGCGUGAUGCGGCGACGCGGCGGGAGGGGUGAAGGCCUGCGGGGUGUGAACCUCUUUCGCCAGUGAAGCGGGCUUGCCUCGUUUGUGGGGUGGGUGACGGUAGCUGGAAAAGAAGCGCCGGCUAACUACGUG
rnacentral:rRNA from 1 species